ensembl:snRNA U6 U6 spliceosomal RNA
GUGCUCGCUUCGGCAGCACAUAUACUAAAAUUGGAAUGAUACAGAGAAGAUUAGCACGGCCCCUUGCGCAAGAAUGACAUGCAAAUUCAUGAAGCGUUCCAUAUUUUU